CCCUUAGAUGUCCUGGGCCGCACGCGUGCUACACUGACGCCUACAGCGAGUACUUCCCAGCCCCGAGAGGUGGCUGGUAAUCAGCAAUAGGCGUCGUGAUGGGGAUAGAUCUUUGGAAUUAUGGAUCUUGAACGAGGAAUGCCUAGUAAGCGCAGGUCAUUAGCCUGCGCUGAUUAAGUCCCUGCCCUUUGUACACACCGCCCGUCGCUCCUACCGAUUUCGAGUGGUCCGGUAAAUCUUUCGGACUGCGCGCGGCCUCGUGCCGUGUCGCGGAAAGUCAGGUAAACCUUAUCACUUAGAGGAAGGAGAAGUCGUAACA
rnacentral:rRNA from 1 species